rnacentral:other from 1 species
AUUACCCUGGAGUGUGCGUGAUUUAUGCCUCGGCGCUGACCUGACAAGCAUCAAAUAAGGGAGCUGUCACUGCUUUUUGUGUGCAUGCCCGGACUUGCCGGGAAGCCUGAGAGAAGCAUACGGGUGCCCGACCUGGUAAUCCAGGUUCUGAGCCGUAAGCAUGACACGGCGUUCCGGGGUAUUG